rnacentral:rRNA from 1 species
UGCCAGCCGCCGCGGUAAUACGAAGGGUGCUAGCGUUGUUCGGAAUUAUUGGGCGUAAAGCGCGUGUAGGCGGUUCGUUAAGUCUGAUGUGAAAGCCCGGGGCUCAACCCCGGAAGUGCAUUGGAAACUGGCGAACUUGAGUACGGGAGAGGAAAGUGGAAUUCCGAGUGUAGGGGUGAAAUCCGUAGAUAUUCGGAGGAACACCAGUGGCGAAGGCGACUUUCUGGCUCGUAACUGACGCUGAGGCACGAAAGCGUGGGGAGCAAACAGGAUUAGAUA